GAGCCUAUAGCUCAGCCAGGUUAGAGCGCUGGUCUUAUAAGCCAGAGGUCCGGAGUUCAAAUCUCCGUAGGCUCA
rnacentral:tRNA from 1 species